rnacentral:rRNA from 1 species
UGGGGAAUAUUGCACAAUGGAGGGAACUCUGAUGCUGCGACGCCGCGUGAACGAAGAAGGCUUUCGAGUCGUAAAGUUCUUUUAUAUGGGAAGAUAAUGACGGUACCAUAAGAAAAAGCCCCGGCUAACUACGUGCCAGCAGCCGCGGUAAUACGUAGGGGGCUAGCGUUGUCCGGAAUCACUGGGCGUAAAGGGUUCGCAGGCGGAAAUGCAAGUCAGGUGUAAAAGGCAGUAGCUUAACUACUGUAAGCAUUUGAAACUGCAUAUCUUGAGAAGAGUAGAGGUAAGUGGAAUUUUUAGUGUAGCGGUGAAAUGCGUAGAUAUUAAAAAGAAUACCGGUGGCGAAGGCGACUUACUGGGCUCAUUCUGACGCUGAGGAACGAAAGCGUGGGUAGCAAACAGG